AGAGUUUGAUCAUGGCUCAGAACGAACGCUGGCGGCGUGGAUAAGACAUGCAAGUCGAACGCUGGUUUGCGGGUAGCAAUAUUUGCAAACUGGAGUGGCGCAAGGGUGUGUAACACGUGGGUAAUCUGCCGUGAAGUCUGGGAUAACUCGCUGAAAGGCGAGCUAAUACCGGAUGUGAACGCAAGUUCAAAGUUGGGGACCGCAAGGCCUGACGCUUCACGAUGAGCCCGCGGCCUAUCAGCUAGUUGGUGAGGUAACGGCUCACCAAGGCUAAGACGGGUAGCUGGUCUGAGAGGACGACCAGCCACACUGGAACUGAGACACGGUCCAGACACCUACGGGUGGCAGCAGUCGAGAAUUUUUCUCAAUGGGCGAAAGCCUGAAGGAGCGACGCCGCGUGGGGGAUGAAUGGCUUCGGCCCGUAAACCCCUGUCAUUUGCGAACAAAUUGUUUCACCUAAUACGUGAAGCAUUGAUUGUAGCGGAAGAGGAAGGGACGGCUAACUCUGUGCCAGCAGCCGCGGUAAUACAGAGGUCCCAAGCGUUGUUCGGAUUCACUGGGCGUAAAGGGUGCGUAGGCGGCCAGGUAAGUUUGAUGUGAAAUCCCGCAGCUCAACUGCGGAACUGCAUUGAAUACUAUUUGGCUCGAGGAAUGGAGGGGAGACUGGAAUUCUCGGUGUAGCAGUGAAAUGCGUAGAUAUCGAGAGGAACACCAGUGGCGAAGGCGAGUCUCUGGACAUUUCCUGACGCUCAGGCACGAAAGCCAGGGGAGCAAACGGGAUUAGAUACCCCGGUAGUCC
rnacentral:rRNA from 1 species